rnacentral:rRNA from 1 species
UACGAAGGGGGGCUAGCGUUGUUCGGAAUUACUGGGCGUAAAGCGCGCGUAGGCGGAUACUUAAGUCAGGGGUGAAAUCCCGGGGCUCAACCCCGGAACUGCCUUUGAUACUGGGUAUCUCGAGUCCGGAAGAGGUGAGUGGAAUUCCGAGUGUAGAGGUGAAAUUCGUAGAUAUUCGGAGGAACACCAGUGGCGAAGGCGGCUCACUGGUCCGGUACUGACGCUGAGGUGCGAAAGCGUGGGGAGCAAACAGG